rnacentral:rRNA from 1 species
UUCUAGAGCUAAUACAUGUCAUGUCCGCGAUGACUGCAAAGAAAUCGCGUGCUAACUAGAUUUAAACCAACCUCGAAAGAGAAUAUUGGUGAUUCAUAGUUAUCGAACGAACCGCAUACUGUAAAGUGGCGGUGAUUCAAUCAAGUUUCUACCCUAUCAGCUUCCGAUGGUAGUGUAUUGGACUACCAUGGCGUUAACGGGUAACGGAGGGUCAGGGCUCGACACCGGAGACGUAGCCUGAGAGAUGGCUUCGACAUCCAAGGAAGGCAGCAGGCGCGAAAACUACCCAAUCCCGAUACGGGGAGGUGGUGACAACAAAUACUAAAGAGGUGCCUUCGGGUACUUCUAUUGGAAUGAGUACAAUUUAAAUCCAUUAACAAGGAUCAACUGGAGGGCAAGUCUGGUGCCAGCAGCCGCGGUAAUUCCAGCUCCAGGAAGUGUUGUUAAAGUUGUUGCAGUUAAAAAGCUCGUAGUUGAAUGUCUGGGAUGUAUUUUGGUUCUCUUAAGGUGGCCUUGGGCGAAAGUUUAAGGUUUAUUUUAAUUGUUACCGCAUCCCAAUCCAAUAUGGUAGAGAUGAUUAAGAUUGUUUACUCAAUUCUAGUCUAUUAACUCUACCUCCUUCACUGUGAACAAACUAGAGUGUUUAAAGCAGGCUCUCUGGCUUGAAUAAUCAAGCAUGGAGUGAUGAGAUAGGACUAGAGUACUAUUUCGUUGGUUGCGUAUUCUGGUAAUGAUUGAUAGGGACAGUUGGGGGUAUUCAUAUUAAACAGUCAGAGGUGAAAAUUCUUGGAUUUGUUUAAGAUGAACUACUGCGAAAGCAUCUACCAAGGAUGUUUU